rnacentral:misc_RNA from 1 species
GUUUAAACCUGAAAAUGGGUAGUUGUUUGAUAUCAUCUUAGUGAAGGAUUUCUCCACUUCACUAUCUCAAACGAAAGCAGUAAAUCGAUUGGCAAUUGGGCCAACAAACUGCUGCCGGAAAUUGCCUGGCCUGGACUUCUUGUUGGGCUACUGUAUAGGCGGAUAUAAGUAAUAUGGACAUUCUACAUUACAUUAGCAGCGAAACAUUAGAUGCUUGGAGAUUGAGAUUAGGCUGUACAAUAGAUAUACAUGUGAUGAAAAUGGAAGGGAAUCAGUAGAGAGAGUUGUAGGUGAGGCAAGUGGCAACAAUGGAGGAGAUACAAAUGAAGAGUGAUGGAAGUAGAGUGGCAUUCAAGAGCCUACUUUCACUCAAGUAUCCACUCAGUGUUAUUGUUCCAUCUGCAAUUACUCGAGCCAAGGUCCCUGCUUCUGUUGAAAGCAACCCUCCAUUGUAUGUCCCUCGAGAAAGCCUUGAUGACAUUACUCGUGAUAAUAGUGAUAAGUUCACGCCUGGAUUUAUCAAGCCAGUGGGAUCCCAAAUUUGUUAAGCAAGGUAAGAAACCAGAGUAAGGGAGUAUGACUUGACAGCAUUUUUUUUUUUCCAGAAAACAUGAUAGCACUUAAAAAUUCCAAUGAUAGGACAAGCACAUCUGAAUCUAACAGAGAAUUACCUUCAAGGACUUCAGCUGAUACGAACGUGACCAGUGCUGAGCCGACAUAUUGAGGCACAGAAUAAGGGAUCAAUAUAUUGAAGCUUAGAAGUAUACCUAUGCACACCAUAAUUUCAGAUGCCAGUAGAACCUGUCUGCAACCAGAUUUUCCAAAAUACGAAUGAUUUGGGAAUGAAAGUAAAAUGAAAUUACAUCAUGUAUCGCUAAUGGCAUUAUAAGUUACAGACAAUAUUUUGCUGGAUGAACAUGACUUAGUGGUGGAUUUCACAAAAGCUUAUAAAAUAGAACAAUUAUACUCUUGACAGAGCCUAUACUCUUGACAGAGCCUUUCAGACUUAACUACUAAGGACUUGGCUGGAAAAAUUAUUUCAUUAGCCUAAACUUCGUGUUAACAAUAGGAAUUUAAUAGUUUAAAAGACAAUUAUUCAAGUGUACAGUAGUGAUUGUGUUUCUGAAUUUACAAUCAAAUGAUCUUUUGAAGGUAAUUUUAGGACCUAAUUACUCCCAGAUUAUUAAGUGUUUAUCAAUUUCUCAUCAUAUCUGAUAAUAUACUAAAAAGUUUAACCAGAAAAAAAGGCAUGCCAAAAUCAACAAUCAAAUGAAAAGAUGAAAACUUCUGAUAUUGCAGCCUUCACCUUACUGAUAUGCUGAGAGUUCCAAAUUUUUUAUUAAGGAGGAAAAAAACAAGAAGCUGUUUUCCCCCCAACUCCUGAGUGCUUACCUCUCUUCAAAUAUGUUGCUGAUGUAGCUUCCAACCAAAACAUUUACAGGAAGCACUGUCAGCCCAAGACAUGCUAGAAAAAUUGCAACACUGCUGGUUGACCAGAUAAAGUAAUAUCCAGUGAUGACGCUUGAUUCAGCAAGUAAAAUCUCCAUUGCAUAUUUGAGCAUAAAAUAAAUGAAUAGCUGCACCUUCACUGAUGGUGUGAGUAGUCGAUAUGCUGAUACAAUUGAAGUGACAGGUUCAUGACUUCCCUCAGAAUCUUCAUCACCAUCCUCAAGUUCUUGGUAUGUAGCUUCAUCUUGAUUCUCAGCUUCUGAUUUUAAAAGCAAUGGCUGCGUAGAACCACUCUCUACAGCGCCAUCAUUUACAAACAGCCCAGAAUUAGUUUGCUGUGGCACAAGUUCUUUAGUCUCGUGUGAAGGUUCUCUAAAAGAAAUCCACAGCCAUAGUAGGUAUGCAAGCCACAAGAAAGCCAUCACCCAGCCAGGUAAGGUGUCCUCAUUAAACGUUAGUUUGUAAAUCUUGAAAUUAGUUUGAAGUAAGCAAGCAAGAGCUGGACCACAUGCCAUUCCAAGUGCACUUGCACUGACAAAACUUGCAGAAGCCUGCAUUCUCAGUUUAUGUGGUACACAAUCACUGAUGUAACGCCUGUUGACAGCUCUUGCAGAGCCUAACCCACAGAAAAGUCGACCAAUCAGAAGGACCGAUAUUGAAUUAAGAUCAUAAGCCAGUGCAUAUAAGGUGUUACCCGCUAGAAGAAUGAUGCUACUAAACACAAGAGGUCUCAAAUAUGAUCUAUUUGACCAUGCACUAAAAUAUAUUGAAGAGAACAGCUGUGCAACAGCCAUUGACCCAAUAAUGACACCACAAACAGUCGCUGCAGCUCCAAGCCUCAGGGAGUAGUUAUCUGCUGUUGGAACAAUAAUAUAUGUGUUGACCAUAUAAAGA